CAGGAAGGAGAACUUCAGCUCCAGGGCGUUCCCAAGCAGAGCUGGGCUGGGCAGGGGGCUUCCUGCAGCUUUCGCAUCUUCCACCCUGUCCUGGGGCAGGUGAGGCUGCAGUGCUUUAGCCAGGGCUCUCCGUUUUUUGGAGGGUACUAGGCAAGCAUGUAUCACUGAGCCACACCUACAGCCCUCCCCACCCUACCUCCUUUUUAAAAUAUAAAAUCCUGAGACAGGAUUUUAAGUCUGAGGCAGGGUCCUGCCAGGCUGAGUUUGAACUUGUGAUGCCUGCCUCAGCCUCUUGAGUAUCUUGGAUUACUGGCAUGUAGACCUGCAGACCCUCUCAUCUGCUGCAUUCUGGCCCCUGGCUUGCCAUUCCCAGGGGAGGUGGACAGGGAAAGAGGUUGGAAUCUGGUAGAACAUGUGGGGCCCCGUGUGGAAAACGUGGACAAUAGGAGAGGAAGCCACCUCGAGCCAUGCUCCCCGGGCAGGUGGCACAGGCCCGGAGACUCAGCACAGGGGCUGCCUCCCCAGAAGGAGUUUAGGAAGGAACCUGGCGUUACCUGAUGUGAACGACUUGAAGAGUCGGACGUUGCCCUGGGCGAGGAUUCUGUAGUAGGACCAGCUCAAGUACAGCACCAGGGGCACCCAGAUGAUGGGGACACUGUACCUGCAGGAGGACCACCCAGCUGGCACCAUCCGGAGACAGGGACAGCCCAGCCCAGGCUGCGGGACUCACCAGACUGUCUUGGACAGGGACUCGAGGAGGUCGGAGUGGAAGAGGCGGAUGGGCCUGCUCACCGGCUGGUGGACCCACUCGUGGUACUUCUCCCCCAGCUGGCCCACCUGCCACAGCAGAGGCUUCUUCCAG